rnacentral:rRNA from 1 species
AGCGAACGCUGGCGGCAGGCUUAACACAUGCAAGUCGAGCGGGCACUUUCGGGUGUCAGCGGCGGACGGGUGAGUAACGCGUGGGAACGUGCCCUCUGGUUCGGAAUAACUCAGGGAAACUUGAGCUAAUACCGGAUACGCCCUUUUGGGGAAAGGCUUGCUGCCGGAGGAUCGGCCCGCGUCUGAUUAGCUAGUUGGUGAGGUAACGGCUCACCAAGGCGACGAUCAGUAGCUGGUCUGAGAGGAUGAUCAGCCACACUGGGACUGAGACACGGCCCAGACUCCUACGGGAGGCAGCAGUGGGGAAUAUUGGACAAUGGGCGCGAGCCUGAUCCAGCCAUGCCGCGUGAGUGAUGAAGGCCUUAGGGUUGUAAAGCUCUUUUAUCCGGGACGAUAAUGACGGUACCGGAGGAAUAAGCCCCGGCUAACUUCGUG